rnacentral:rRNA from 1 species
CGUAGGGUGAACCUGCGGAGGGAUCAUUACCGAGUUUACAACUCCCAAACCCCUGUGAACAUACCAAUUGUUGCCUCGGCGGAUCAGCCCGCUCCCGGUAAAACGGGACGGCCCGCCAGAGGACCCCUAAACUCUGUUUCUAUAUGUAACUUCUGAGUAAAACCAUAAAUAAAUCAAAACUUUCAACAACGGAUCUCUUGGUUCUGGCAUCGAUGAAGAACGCAGCAAAAUGCGAUAAGUAAUGUGAAUUGCAGAAUUCAGUGAAUCAUCGAAUCUUUGAACGCACAUUGCGCCCGCCAGUAUUCUGGCGGGCAUGCCUGUUCGAGCGUCAUUUCAACCCUCAAGCCCCCGGGUUUGGUGUUGGGGAUCGGCGAGCCCUCGCGGCAAGCCGGCCCCGAAAUCUAGUGGCGGUCUCGCUGUAGCUUCCAUUGCGUAGUAGUAAAACCCUCGCAACUGGUACGCGGCGCGGCCAAGCCGUUGAACCCCCAACUUCUGAAUGUUGACCUCGGAUCAGGUAGGAAUACCCGCUGAACUUAAGCAUAUCAAUAAGCGGAGGAA